rnacentral:lncRNA from 1 species
GUGCCUUGUAGGGUCCUGAAAACUAAAGAUGAAGAUAAAUAUCCAUGAAAAGAGAGUUUGGUAGGAGAGACAGCACCAAGCCCUACUACAACAGCUGUGGAACACAUCUGGACCAUGUCAACAUCUCUUCCUUGUCUCUUGUAGCUGUGCCUAGCUGAACCCACCCAGGAGAUCAUCCGGCUGCCCAUCCUCCUGACCUCUGCAGAAGAGAAGGGCCUGACCUCCCAGUCCUUGCCAAGCACUGGCAAUCUCAGGCUGCUGUGACAACAGAGAGAUGUAAAGCCAAGUGGAUAGCUAGACUUGCGGCUGCCUCUGGCCCUGAGUUAAAGCUUUUUCAAAAAAUGGCAAUAACGUGACAAUGAUACUAACAACAACAGUAAUAAAU